rnacentral:rRNA from 1 species
GAUCCUGGCUCGGGAUGAACGCUAGCUACAGGCUUAACACAUGCAAGUCGAGGGGCAGCAUGGACCCAGCUUUGCUGGGUUUGAUGGCGACCGGCGCACGGGUGAGUAACGCGUAUCCAACCUGCCCUUUACUCCGGGAUAGUCUCCUGAAAGGGGAGUUUAAUACCGGAUGUGUUUGUCUUUCCGCAUGGGAGCGACAAAUAAAGAUUAAUUGGUAAAGGAUGGGGAUGCGUCCCAUUAGCUUGUUGGCGGGGUAACGG